CAACGGCAAAACAAAGAUCGAGCAAAUAAUUCGCUUGUAAACAUGGGCGAUUUGCCCGAGCGGUGACUCGAUGUUACCGGCUUCCAGAAUUCUCUCCGCGAGAAUCCUCUGGAAGAUUUUAAUGA